GGAGGAGGAGGAGGAAGAAGACUUCUCCUAAGUUCCUGACCCCCACCCCAUAGCUACCUGCUCAGUACCUGGGUAGGCAGGCACUGAAGAUCAGCACAAAAGAUGAGCCCCUGACUCUUCCAGGGCCAGGCCGGCUCAGGGACCCCAAAGCCUUUUUUCUUCCAACAGCACAAAUGAGAAGCCACAUUGCAGUAUCAACCUUGAGAAUUUCAAAUACCUUUGAAACAGGCAUCUCACUGGACACAGAAGACACAACUGUGAACAAGUCCAAGAAAGACCCUGUUCUCAGGAAACUGAAAUUCCUGCUAGAAGGUCUGGCAAACCUUCGUUCAGAGAUAUGACAAAAUCAAGGCUGCAGAAACUGAGGUCCCAAAAGGUGAAAUGACUUGCAAUGGGUACAUAGUGAUUACUUCUGGGGCACAAGAUCAAGACUCCACUUUAUUGCUCUCCACUAUCAGUCAAAUAUAUUUCAUAGAAAUGUGAAAUGAAAGGUCUGUAAUUUACACCAUAUUUGGCUGAACACAAGGAUUUCCAAUAAAUUACUCCUAAUUAUUUUAAACCUUUGUGAAAAUUACACCUAACUUUUUAAGCUCGUGCACAGUUACAUAAAUAAAGAGAAAAAUAAG
rnacentral:lncRNA from 1 species